CCUAUUUUUAUAAUCUGCUCAUGAAAUUUUAAUAGCCGCAAUCGUGCUAAGGUAGCAUAAUCAUUUGUCUUUUAAUUAAAGACUAGAACAAAAGAUUUAACAUUUAAAUACAUUUCUUUAAUUUAUUAAUUAAAAUUAUUAUUAAUGUAAAAAAACAUUAAUAAAUAAAAUAGACGAUAAGACCCUAUAGAACUUUACUUAAGUUUAACUGGGGCAGUUAAUUAUUUAUUAUUAUAAUUUAAAAUAAUCUAAAAAUGACCUAAUAUAAUUAAUUAUUUGACCAAGUUACCUUAGGGAUAACAGUGUAAUAUUAUUUUAAAGAUCUUAUUAAAAAUAAUGAUUGCAACCUCGAUGUUGACUUAAUGACCUAAACUAACGCAAUAGUUAUUAAAGGAAGUCUGUUCGACUUUUAAACAAUUACAUGAUCUGAGUUCAAACCGGA
rnacentral:rRNA from 1 species